GUUGCUGGGCAGCAAGGCUCGAAGGGCCGGCUCUGUGCCAUAUCUCAAUAAAUAAAUAGAUCUCUUCCUACCUUUAAAAGUCUGUUAAAAGCAUCGGUUUAUCCACUCAACAAGGAAAGCAACUAAAUACUUUGUUAACCACACUUUUCUGGCAAACAAUCAUUGUAAGUAAUACUCUGCAACUUCCCUUUGGACUUGGAGCAAUUCAAUGUGGAAGAAAGGAGGCAAAGCAAGGCGGCGGGCCGGUUGCCGAGAGCGUGGAAGAGCAUGAAAGAUCUGGCACAGGCUGAAUCAAAGCUGCGGAGUACAGGCACCAAACGUGACUGAGCACCAUCUGCAGAUGGAGAUUCACAGGCCAAAGAGAAGUCCGGCUUAUCCAAGUGGCAGAACCUGUUGUUCAGAUGGAGAGUUUAUCCCAGAUUUGGAGUUUGCCCAAAGGAGACUCAUGGCAAGAAAGCAGGACAAGGCUUAUUGGUGUUUGUAGGAACUAAAAAAUGAGGGAGAGGGAGAUAUCGCUCCUGCGACAGUGAGAGGGGAGACCAACAGCUCGCUGUUUCCAUGUUACAAUAGCUUGACCAAAUGGACAGAGGAAGUUAUUCACGGAUGUAUUUUCUGAUUCAUGAAUGAUGCCAAUUCCUUCA